GACGAACGCUGGCGGCGUGCUUAACACAUGCGAGUCGAACGGAAAGGCCUCUUUCGGGGGGUACUCGAGUGGCGAACGGGUGAGUAACACGUGAGUAACCUGCCCUUGACUUUGGGAUAACUUCAGGAAACUGGGGCUAAUACCGGAUAGGAGCUCCUGCUGCAUGGUGGGGGUUGGAAAGUUUCGGCGGUUGGGGAUGGACUCGCGGCUUAUCAGCUUGUUGGUGGGGUAGUGGCUUACCAAGGCUUUGACGAGUAGCCGGCCUGAGAGGGUGACCGGCCACAUUGGGACUGAGAUACGGCCCAGACUCCUACGGGAGGCAGCAGUGGGGAAUAUUGCACAAUGGGUGGAAGCCUGAUGCAGCAACGCCGUGUGCGGGAUGACGGCCUUCGGGUUGUAAACCGCUUUCGCUCAUGACGAAGCUUUGUGUGACGGUAGUGGGUAAAGAAGCACCGGCUAACUACGUG
rnacentral:rRNA from 1 species